AUUGAACGCUGGCGGCAGGCCUAACACAUGCAAGUCGAGCGAGCGGCGGACGGGUGAGUAAUGUAUGGGGACUGCCCGAUAGAGGGGGAUAACUACUGGAAACGGUAGCUAAUACCGCAUACGAUCGGAGAACGCAUAUGGGAUUAGCUAGUAGGUGAGGUGGUGGCUCACCUAGGCGACGAGCGCUAGCUGGUCAGAGAGGAUGAUCUGCCACACGGCGACUGGGAGACUGCCCAACCUCCUAUGGCGGGAGGAGUGGAGAAUAUGGCACAAUGGGGGCAAGCCUGAUGAAGCCAUGCGGCGUGUAUGAGUAGGGCCUGAGGGUUGUAGAGUAGUUUUAGUCGUGAGGCGUUACCUGCAGAAGAAGCACCGGCUAACUCCGUGCCAGCAGCCGCGGUAAUAC
rnacentral:rRNA from 1 species